UAGAAACAAAGAUCACAAAGAUGUUUGUAAGAAAGAGAGAGAGUUCAGAACACUGAGUUUAUUUGUGUCUGUGUGUGUCAAGUGUUAAGCAAUGUAUUGUUGUCUCGCACAGAGAAUGGAGGGAAGGUACUUAUAGUACUGAAUACGAGUAAACAAAGAAGGCAACAAUCCUUAAUUAAGGAAUUGACAUCAACCAUAAUCAAAUUAGUAUAAGGACUACCCUUUAAUUAUGGAAUCAAAGUUAAACGGUAAUAAGAAACUGUUUAAAAGGAAAGAAAUCACAAUUUAUGAUCACAUAGGGAACAACAUAGCAUAAAGCAUGCAAUAGAGACUAGGUAAAUGAUAGUCUAAUUAGGAAAACAGGUUAGGCAAAUCAAUCAACAUUCUUAUGCACACAUAUAGGGCGGGGUACUACUCCAAUUUUUGACAAUAAUCCCUAGAAAAUAAGGGACGAGAUUGAGAACUUAGGAGACCAAAAUUAAUUGAGGGAAUUACCCCAGAGAUUGAGGAAAAAGUUCGAAAUUAAUCCCAAAACAAUAUGUGGAAUCCAAUUUUAAGGCAAGUAUCACAAUUUCAAAAAGAGGCUCAUAAAAAUCAGUAUUAAAUCGUCAUGCAAACAGUCAGAGAAACUUUGAACGGAGAACAUAACAUGGUAGGAGAAUGAAAAACUCUUAACAAAAAUUGAAGCAAAGAAAAUGAGACUUACAAGAGAACCCAGAAGAACACACAAAUAAGAAAAUAACACAGACACAAACAUAUAAGGCUAGGGUUUUAUCAUACUUAAGCUAAAUAUUUAGAAGAAUCACAAAUAGUACUCAAAAAUCAUAAAGUAAGAUGAUUUCAAAAAGGGGGUUAGAAACCCUAGUUUCAAAAGGGAGUAAAAUUAUGUAAAACAUGAGUAAUCGUAAAGAUCGAGUAGAAAAUAUUGCAAAAUAUAAAGGUACGAGUUAAGAUCGUUAAAAAUCAGAGAUUUGAGAAGUUUGAGUCAAGAUUAGGGUUUCAUAAGAAACCAGUGAGAGAGGUAAGAGAAACCUGGCAAUAAAACUUAAGGAUAAUAGUGUUUUCACCAUCAUCGAACAAAAAUCCAUCGAAGAAAGGCCAGAAACAGACCCCGCCGAGGCUUCAGUGACCAUUUUCAUGGUGGAAGCUUCUGGGGCUUCAAACCUUGGAGAGAAGUAGUGAUCUAGGAUCCCAUGGUGGAUAGAGGUCGAGAGAAGUGAUGACGGAGCAAGGCCGAAGAGGCGAUGAAGCUCGUUGGAGAGAAGGAGAGAACCAGAAGGUUCUAGAGAGAAGGAAGAGCAAGUGAUAGAGAGAGAGUGAGAUAGAAAC
rnacentral:lncRNA from 1 species